UACGUAGGGACCAAGCGUUGUUCGGAUUUACUGGGCGUAAAGGGCGCGUAGGCGGCAAAUUAAGUCGUCUGUGAAAUCUCCGAGCCUAACUCGGAACGGUCAGGUGAUACUGAUCUGCUAGAGUGCGGAAGGGGCAAUCGGAAUUCUUGGUGUAGCGGUGAAAUGCGUAGAUAUCAAGAGGAACACCUGAGGUGAAGACGGGUUGCUGGGCCGACACUGACGCUGACAGCGCGAAAGCCAGGGGAGCAAACGGG
rnacentral:rRNA from 1 species